UUUAAUUUUUCAUUAAAAUUUUUCAUUUUUCAUUGGCAGUUUAAACUAGAACUAUGUUCAUAAGACAUGAAUGCUCCGGAACGUUCUUGAUUCAUUUGAAUAUUUCUUACAAAUACGUAUCAGCAUGCUAAGUUUGAUAAAUAUAUCUUGUAUUAUGUAGUUAAAAGUGAGGUCAAGGUCAAAGGAAAGGUUAAAGUAAAUAAAUAUUAAUGCAGUUGCAUAGCUCGUACUUGAUCUUGACCUUGAUAGGCGUAAUUCAGGUAAGAAACAUCCUCUGUUCUUUCGAUUUAUUCUAGACGUACAGAAGGCAGAUGCCGGGAACUUGACUUGUGAAGUGUUUAAGCAAGUGAAGGAGAGAAGAAAAUGGGUCAGGGAUGACCUUGUAGCUAAAAAGUCUGUAGCCAUUAAAAUUACGGGAAAAGAAAAGUGUGUCUAUGGCAUGUCAGACAGAAUCAUUACGAAUUGGAAAACGUAGUUCAAAGAUUACUGCAAGGAAUAAGAUGAAAAGAACUUUCAAUUCCCACCAGCCAGCCAUUUCAACUGCUCGUGUAUGGGACAAUCACCAUCAGGUGGAGCUUUGGAGAGAGGAGAUCCCCUGGAUUGGCGGAGAUGGACUCCCGUGGUCACUGUGCAAAGUUUAUCAUUAAUUACUCAAAUUUUUUGUAAAGAUUUGACAAAGUGUGCAUGCGAAUUAAAUGUUAAAAAGGAUUCAGUGAAGGGGUGAAGGUGUGUACAUGAGGUGUCUGCUUGAUGUUUUGACUAAUUGUAUUAAAUUUGAUUCAGAUUUUUAGAGCAAUGAAAGUAAAAUCAGCUUGGGAAUGUAAAAGAAAGGAUUAGAGCGGACUAUUGCCUGGGUGAAAGACCAAGAUUUGGAGAUUGGUACGAUAGUGACAGACCGCCAUGUCCAAAUACAGAAGUGGACAAGGAGAACUUGAUGGAGACGACACAUCAUUACGAUGUUUGGCAUGUGACAAGAGGUCUGAAGAAAAAGAUCCUAGCUGCAUCCAAACAGAAGCCAAUUGGAUCAGGAGCUUGAUUGACCACUUGAAAACUUAACAGUAAAAGCAUAAUCACAUCAGUGUAAAAAAAAUAACGAAAUGUUAACCUGUGUCACCUUUCAGAAUGACCAAUUAAUCCGUCCGUGUACUUAAGAAGUGGUAAAAUAAAAAUUCUGCAUAGUCUGAAAUGUUUUAGGUAACACAAGUAAUAAAGCUUUCUCAAGGUUUUACUUCUCGCUGCAUGCAUGAUUCAAUUAUAUAAUUCAUUGUAUUAAAAAUUGUUUUCAAGAAUCAUGUCAGAAGUUGAAGAACUAAAUGAGCCUGAUCCAAGACCAUCAACAAGUUACAGUGAUUAAUGGAAGAUGGAAGGUUUCUAAAGUUAAUAUUAGUAGGGCAAUCAACGUUUACAAGAACUAACCAUUUUUGGUAUGUGUGUAAAACGGCAUACAGGCAACAUGGAAGAAUUCAUGUGCGUCUAAACAUUAAACAUCUAAACAUUAAAACUAAGUUUAUUAUUUGAAAAAUGCAACAAAUGCACGUAUCAAAUUUCCUUGUCAGUGCAGUGUAAAUAUAACUUGGAUGACUGAAAGUGAAAAAUGAUGAUUUGUCUAAGAUAUGUGAUUGUUUUUAGGGGAGAUGGGUUGGUGUUAUGCACCAUGUG